UAGCAUGUUUUAAAUAAUCUUUUUAUAGUUCUACUCACUGGGCAUCUAGCUCACCCCUCUCCCCUAACCCCCAGGUUUGCAGGUACGGGAUAGAUAGAGAAGGCAAGAAGAGAAAAAGUCAUAUGUAUGUAAUAGUUAGUUUGUGGACAUGACAAAUGUAUAAUGAUGAAAUGUAAAAAUAUUCAGUAUGUUAUGUAAUGAGGUUAUUGAGGAUAGAGUUGUGCUUGACCAUAAUAUAUUGUUAAUCCCUUUU
rnacentral:lncRNA from 1 species